rnacentral:rRNA from 1 species
GACGAACGCUGGCGGCGUGCUUAACACAUGCAAGUCGAACGGAAAGGCCCUGCUUUUGUGGGGUGCUCGAGUGGCGAACGGGUGAGUAACACGUGAGUAACCUGCCCUUGACUUUGGGAUAACUUCAGGAAACUGGGGCUAAUACCGGAUAGGAGCUCCUGCUGCAUGGUGGGGGUUGGAAAGUUUCGGCGGUUGGGGAUGGACUCGCGGCUUAUCAGCUUGUUGGUGGGGCAGUGGCUUACCAAGGCUUUGACGGGUAGCCGGCCUGAGAGGGUGACCGGCCACAUUGGGACUGAGAUACGGCCCAGACUCCUACGGGAGGCAGAAGUGGGGAAUAUUGCACAAUGGGCGGAAGCCUGAUGCAGCAACGCCGCGUGCGGGAUGACGGCCUUCGGGUUGUAAACCGCUUUCGCCUGUGACGAAGCGUGAGUGACGGUAAUGGGUAAAGAAGCACCGGCUAACUACGUG